UACGCAAGGGGCUAGCGUUGUUCGGAAUUACUGGGCGUAAAGCGCACGUAGGCGGCUCUUCAAGUCGGGGGUGAAAUACUGGAGCUCAACUCCAGAACUGCCUUUGAUACUGGCGUGCUAGAGUGUGGGAGAGGUUGGUGGAACUCCGAGUGUAGAGGUGAAAUUCGUAGAUAUUCGGAAGAACACCAGUGGCGAAGGCGGCCAACUGGACCAUUACUGACGCUGAGGUGCGAAAGCGUGGGGAGCAAACAGG
rnacentral:rRNA from 1 species